UGCGUAGGUGGUUCUGCAUGUCGGGUGUGAAAUACCACGGCUUAACCGUGGAAGUGCAUUCGAAAACUGCAGAGCUAGAGUGCAGGAAGGGAGAGUGGAAUUCUUGGUGUAGCGGUGAAAUGCGUUGAUAUCAAGAAGAACACCGGUGGCGAAGGCGGCUCUCUGGAAUGCAACUGACACUGAGGCACGAAAGCUGGGGGGAGCAAACA
rnacentral:rRNA from 1 species